AGAAAAUCUGCAAGAGCUACUCGCAGCAUCCUCGAGGAGGGGUCGUCGCGGGCGGGGCGCAGGCGGGCCGUGUGCACUGUUGGGACUUAUAGGAGCGUGGAGGUCAGAAAAAGAGUGAUGGGUCCCGCUACCGACUCGUGACGGCGGCUGGGUUCCCAGGGUGUGCAGUGACGCCCCCCCCCAUAUCCCCCGUCCUGGGGAAGCUGUGACCAGCACCCCUGGGAUGUGUACACCGGCAUCGGGGACCACUCUACCUGGAGCAGAGUUGUCAACGUAGAUGUUGGGCAGGGAGGCGCCAACCGAAGUCCAGGUUGCUCCGGAGCAAGAAAGUGUCUGUGUCUGGAAAGCAGGGGAAUUCAGGGCUGUUUGCACCACAGACCCCCAAAGCACAACAGCGUAAAGUGGACGGCCACCAUCCGUCGCUCAGCACAAACUGCUCUCUUCUCUAAUCAAGGUCACCAAGAAGACUGCUGUCUGCUGUACACUCAGAGAUGAGAUUUAACUCCGUGUGAGUGCUGAGUACUGUGAGACAAUGGAGGGAAUCUGUUCUGUGCGUGAAUUUGCAGAGGAGCCCGCAGGUAACUUUGGGAGUUCCUGUAAAAUAUUUUAAAUACGUAUAAUUGCCGCUGCUGCCGCCACCGCCGCCACCACCAUCAUUACCACCAUCAUCACCAUCAUCAUCACUAUCACCGUCAUCACCACCAUCACCAUCAUCAUCACCAUUACCUUAUCACUGUCAUCACCUCUAUCACCAUCAUCACCAUCAGCACCAUCAUCAUCAUGGAAUAUAUCAAAACACAUCGCACUUGGAUUCGGCCCAGGGAAUAAGAACUCUUUCCUGAGAAACCCAGCUGAUCUGAGGCCAAAGAAAGAAAACUUGUGAAGUCCUGGGGAGAGGAUUCAGACACACAGGUCUCUUGUAUGGCCACUUAGAGAACUUGUCCCUUGCCUUCCCCAUAGAGAAAUUGAAUCUGUAUUACUGGAAACCACCAGUGGCAAUGUGCCUGCACAGCACAGCCUGGAUGUGAUUUUUAAACAUAAUCAUUUUAUUGAAAGAGGCCUCAUAGGUGUCACCAUGGGAAUGCAGAACAAAUACUACAUUCUAUUGGUUGAAACCAAGGUCAAAAUUGACAAAGCCUUCAGUCAUACUUCUGGGCGUAAAGGGGAGCUGAAGAGAAUGGUAUCCCCAAGAGAGUGAUCUGUUGCCCAGCAUGGGGGCAGGAGACAGUGAGGACUCAGCACCCUGAAGGUCUGGUGCACAGGGGUGUGUAUAAUGAUCACCACCACUUCACUCUCAACUCUUUGCUAUUCUUGGGCUUUCCUGGAGGUGAGAUCAUCGUGUCUGUGCAUUGAACUUAUUCUCCCGGAGUGCAUGGUUGGAACCUCACUCCUUCCAUUGUAUGGUACAGCUAGAUGGGUGGAUCUUUAGCUGGUAUAGAGGCCAUGAGGAUAGACCCCUCUGGAAUGAGUGCUCUGAUUGAAGGGACCAGAGGAAGCCUUUGACCUUUUGCUCUUCCUCAAGAAGCAAUGAGAAGCCACCUUUCUAACCCAGGACCCGAACACGUUGGCAUCUUGUUCUCAGCUACCGGGACCAUGAGAAAGGAUAUUUGGUUGUUUAUAGAUCACGCAGCCUCAGGCAUCUAAAACUUCGUGAAAACCCAUUAUUCCUACGAGAGGAAGGCUCCAGAAAAGAGCACAGAGAAGGGCUGUUAGGUAGCUUAGACGAACACCUAGGAGGCCCCACUCACCCCUGCAAUGAAAUGUGGGUCAUCAGUCUUCCAGCAAGGAUCCACAGUGUGAAACUGUUUACACACAGACGUCAGGAAACCAUUCAAAAGCAACAGAGAAAACCAAUUCCGAGAAGUAAAGCUGACAAAACUACUAGCAUUUGAGAGGGUAUGUGGCCAAGGAGCCAAGGACCUACAACAGGUUUCAAAGAUGGCAGCCGAUGCCCUUCACAGGGAAAGGGCACAUCCUGCUCUGUGUGGAGUCUGAAUGGCUAUUUAUGACACAGAACUGAGAGUGAGAUUCAAGCUCUGGCAGCAGCAUGUCUAGGAGACAGCAAAUGAGGAGCCACGCUGAGAAUCCGUCUGUCUCUAGGGCACUCUGGCUGCCACGGGGAAACACUCGUCAAAGAAGGGGAAUGGCCAAGAGAGAAGUAAAAGUCAGCAAAUGCAAUGAGUCUGGUCAUGAAGAAAAUUCCAGCCAGACCACAAUAUAUUCUCCCUGGCACUGAGCUAGCUGAUGGCAGAGAGCCAACCACCCUUGAGGAAAAGGAAUCGUAGGAAAGAUGAAGGACGUUCCCUGACAGAGGUGAACCUUUUGCUUUGUUACUUCAGUUGUCUCUGAGUUAAACCUGCUCUUUCCCAUGGGCAACAAUGUUUCACAGCAGUGGCGGAUGACCCUGGCUGGCCCUUAGAGCAAUUAGGAGACUUUAAAGAACAGGACUUCAUCAAUACCAAACAACAGAAUGUCUGGCGGAAUGGCAGGCAGGUGUUUUUGAUGGACCUCUGAGGGUGGUUCCAGCAUUCUUCCUUACUCAGCUUCCAGCUCGCUCUGCCACUCACUGCCUACCCCAUCUCUAUGCUAUGAUCUGUAUUAGUGCGAGAGCCUUCUUGCCCCUGAGCUGUGGCCUCCUGCCUAAAUCACACCUUGCUUGUCCAACUCUUUUCUCAAAACUGUGCAUUUUAGAGCACUGUGGACUCUUUAGCAGAACUGACCAGAAGCACAGAGCUAUCCUAUACCUCGCCUUCUUUAAACAGCUUUUCUCAUUGUCCACAUCUUCAACAGACUCUUGAACUUUAUAAGCGCAGAGAAAAUUAGUUGAGCCCAAGUGAGCAUAUACGUAUUUAUUUCUCUGCCCUUGAAUGUAGCUAUACUGUGAUUGGCUGCUUCAACUUCCUAUUUCUUUGACUGCUCCACAAUAAUGGACAAUAAAUUGAAACUGUGAGCUAAAAAACACUCUUUCCCGCCUAAGUUGAUUUUUGUCAGGAUAUCUUAUUAAAGCAAUAGAGAUAAAAUAGGAAUAAUCCCUUUGGUCAUUGUCCAUUCUCACCCUGGAGACUGCCUCAGGUUCUGCCUCCACUUGUCUUCCUCGCUUCAUAUAAUUUCAUGUAACAGAGAUCACAUGGACCAGCGAGCUAAAUAGAAAUCAGCAUGAGAUCAGGUAACACUGAGGAAUGCAUGUGUCUUAAAAAGUUGGUACCAUAUCUUCAAGACUCUUUGAGGGCUUUAAGCAGAUAAAUGGUGUGGGAUGAAUUGCUGGUUCAGUGAGAAUCCGGUCACUGCUUUUGGGACUAGGAAGAGUGGAGCCAAUUCAUUCAUUCAGAUUUAUUCAGGACAUCAGACAAUUUACACUCUGAGGGUUAAGAAGACUCACAUGAAUAUAAUGUACUUACAAGGACAAGCUGCACACGCACGGCAAAGACAUGCUUUCCCAUAGAGCCAUAAACAUUUAAUUGAAUGACACCAGCAGGCAAUAAUGAGUAUCUGAAGUAAGCUCACCCAUCCCCCACAUCCGAGGCGAGCAGGAAAACAUACUCCAGGAACAAUUCUGUGUUUUGAAGAAACUAAGUCACAAGAUUCUUGUUUUCUUGAAGUUUUCUCACAAGCACUCAGAAUUCUCACAUGGAUCUAUUCCUGAACCACAGUCCCAUGAAAGCCUGGAGAGAGAGAGAGAGAGAGAGAGAGAGAGAGAGAGAGAGAGAGAGACAGACAGACAGACAGACAGACAGACAUAGAAGGACAGAGACUAAGAAAGAUCCCUCAGGUCAACCUUUGGCUUCCACAUGCAUGUGCAUUUAUGUGCAUGAACAUCCACUGGCACACAUGUAUACACACAGGUACACAGGUACAUAUGUACAUAUCAUACACACACAUACAAUAACACACAAACAUACACCGCAUGCUGUGAUAUUUUCAACCUAUGCUAGGUGGUGCGUCCACAGUGGGGUAGCAUUUCUGCUUCAGUCUAUUGCAAAGUCAGCCUAGAGGGUCAGGGCAGAUUUGUAGACUUGAGUUCAGCUACUGAGGAGAAAGGACAGGACUGGGUCCAGGUGAACCAAUAUUUGGUGGGUGAACGGCAGGUUAGACAGGUAAACAGGCAGGGGACAACUCAAGCCACAUCAGAUGUGGGUACUAAAGCAAGAUGGACCCUGAAGAGUUGGGUGUGCUCUGUGAGUGGUCCUUAAUGCACACAGAUAGUGGUGCACCAACAGGUGAGUGGGGCCAUCACAGUGAUGAAGCUAGAUGUGGGCCUGGCACCUCCAACACGUUGUGGUCUCCAAGGCAACCCAGGCUUCACCUUCAUAGCUUCAUGCAGUGGCCACUCUAGACCUCAAUUCAGAGAAACCCCUGACAUACACCUGGCCUCAGAGGCUUUCUCUAGUUGUGGGGGGAGAGUCUAUAACUCCUUUCUUCUAUCCUUGAUUCUAAAGACAGAGCCAUUAGCCAAAGUUGCCAAGUUCUGCUGCUUGCUGGACCUGGACCUUUUUCAAUUACACCUUUAUCAGCUUUGUUUUCAAUGGCUUCCUUCACAGCCUAAGCUUAGCCGUUCUGAAACUCACUCUGCAGACUAGGCUGGCCUAGAACUUAGUCUUCUUACUUUCUGAGUUCCUGGAUUAAAGGUGUGCACCACCAGGCCUGGCCCUAAGCUUUUCUUUAAUUCCUUUUCACUUUUGUCUUACUUAGGGUUCUAUUUUUGUGAAGAGACACCAUGACCAUGGCAACUCUUACAACGGCAAACAUUUGAUUGGGGUGGCUUGCAGUUUCAGAGGUUGAGUCCAUUAUCAUUAAGGUGGGAAACAUGGCAGUGUCCAGGCAGAUGGUGCUGGAGGAGCUGAGAGUUCAUCUUGAUCCACAGGCAGCAGGAAAGAGAUUGACUUCUGCGAUUGCAAAGCCCACCCCCAGUAACAAGCCUCCUCCAACAAAGGCCACACCUCCUAAUAGUGCCACCCCCAAUGGAUCUAUGAUUUUAUUCAAAACACCAAAGAUGUCUUCCUCCUUACGGAGCCAGGAUGAGAGAAUUGGACCCUUUCCUCAGCCUGAUGAGCUAAGUCCUCGGGCCUGUUUUUCCUGAUAAGAUUUUAAGAUGCCAUGUGCUCCUUUCUUUCUUUUUUUUUUUUCUUUCAUUUUUUCGGAGCUGGGGACCGAACCCGGGGCCUCUACCACUGAGCUAAAUCCCCAACCCCGUCAUGUGCUCCUAAAUCUCAAUUCACCUUGGUAAGCUGAUAUGUGGCACUCUCUUCUAGAAAUCAGUGUUUGAUCAGUCUGUGCUGCAUGGGUGUGCCUGGAAAAUGGUGCUGGUUAUGUGCCUAUCCAGUUGUGGACUCAGUCAUCCUUUAUCCUCAAAACAGACCCAAAUCUGCUCUUCUGAGGACAAGUACAAUCUAAAAAGAAAAAGCCAUCAGUUUAUGCAAUAUGCUCUCAACGCCACCUCCAACCUCAUUUGUCCAGUUUGUAAGACAGACAGACACACAGACCGACAGAUAUAUGUUACGUUCCUAAAGUCAAAAGAUACUACCUUAUAUAGUUAGCAGUUCAAAAUGGAACUGCAGUGUCCUAUGCAUUUAGCAAGAUGACGGGGCCGUGUGCGCACUUGCACAUAUUAAAACCCGAUCAGGCAAACAGACCCAAGAACUUGUGAACACAGUAGACUGAGAAUAGAACAUCUUUCCCUGGACCCCACAAGCAGAGGACCCGAAACACUGAGAUGGUGAUGGCCCAGCAACCUGUUACCGGACCUCCAAGUGUGAG
ensembl:lncRNA